AUCGAACGCUGGCGGCAUGCCUAACACAUGCAGGUCGAAUGAGACCCUCGGGUCUAGUGGCGCACGGGUGCGUAACGCGUGAGAAUCUGCCCUUGGGUUCGGAAUAACUCGCCGAAAGGCGUGCUAAUACCGGAUGAUGUCGUAAGACCAAAGAUUUAUCGCCCAGGGAUGAGCCCGCGUAAGAUUAGGUAGCUGGUGAGGUAAAGGCUCACCAAGCCGACGAUCUUUAGCUGGUCUGAGAGGAUGAUCAGCCACACUGGGACUGAGACACGGCCCAG
rnacentral:rRNA from 1 species